CGUGCGUAGCUACGUGGUCGGUCACUUUGGAUGAAAGGAGCGGUUAUCCAUCAUGUCGAGUCUCGAUUUUGUCGCCACAUUCUUCGGAAUACGACCGAUCAUCUCCUUUGUCAUCCUUGAACUGUCGUUUCGGCAGAGAGAUCUGGUGUCAGACGUCGUUUGCGGAAGGUGAGCCGGCGCCAGUCGUUAUAUCGAGAAGGCGAACCGACGUCGCACGAUUUAACUCUGGCUUGUAGAUUUUCGCCACGUGUCGGGGCAUCAUUGGGUCGGAGUUGUUCAAGCGGAUGGAGGUGACAUGGUUCAAUCUGGUACAAGUGCAUCG
rnacentral:lncRNA from 1 species